CCUACGGGCGGCAGCAGUGGGGAAUAUUGGGCAAUGGGCGCAAGCCUGACCCAGCAACGCCGCGUGAAGGAAGAAGGCUCUCGGGUUGUAAACUUCCUUUGUUAGGGACGAAGCAAGUGACGGUACCUGACGAAUAAGCCACGGCUAACUACGUGCCAGCAGUCGCGGUAAUACGUAGGUGGCAAGCGUUAUCCGGAUUUACUGGGUGUAAAGGGCGUGUAGGCGGGACUGCAAGUCAGAUGUGAAAACCACGGGCUCAACCUGUGGCCUGCAUUUGAAACUGUAGUUCUUGAGUACUGGAGAGGCAGACGGAAUGCCUAGUGUAGCGGUGAAAUGCGUAGAUAUUAGGAAGAACACCAGUGGCGAAGGCAGUCUGCUGGACAGCAACUGACGCUGAGGCGCGAAAGCGUGGGGAGCAAACAGGAUUAGAUACCCGAGUAGUC
rnacentral:rRNA from 1 species